rnacentral:rRNA from 1 species
AGGAUGAACGCUGGCGGCGUGCCUAACACAUGCAAGUCGAACGUCCUGUCUCGCAAGAGGCAGGGAGUGGCGGACGGGUGAGUACCACGUGGGUCAUCUACCGUGAGGUGAGGAAUACCGGCGAGAAAUCGCCGACAAGACCGCAUAGGCUCGAUGCAAGUCGAGCAAAGCUCUUUCGAGAGAGGGAGCGCCACACGAGGAGCCUGCGCCCGAUUAGCUAGCUGGUGGAGUAACGGUUCACCAGGGCGACGAUCGGUAGCUGGUCUGAGAGGACGAUCAGCCACACUGGGAUUGAGAACGGCCCAGACUCCUACGGGGGGCAGCAGUGAGGAAUUUUCGUCAAUGGGGGCAACCCUGAACGAGCAACGCCGCGUGCAGGAAGAAGGUUUUCGGAUCGUAAACUGCUUUUCUCGGGGAAGAGAACGGACGGUACCCGAGGAAUCAGCCCGGCUAACUACGCGCCAGCAGCCGCGGU